GGGGCCCUGCUGGGCCCACCAACCCACAGGGCAAACAUUCCACUUGCACAGAGGGAAGGGGGUGGCCCAGCCCCCUCUCAGGCUCCCCCUCUCCCCCUCCCGCUGUGGGGCACUGAGGGCGGGAGAGCGUGGAGGAGCUCCGAGAGGCAGAUCGGGAAGCACCACCCCAGAGGUCCAGGUAAAACUGCAAAGAACAGCUUUCGGACGAGCCCCCUGCUUCCCCAUUCACACGCACUUCUACCAGACAAACCAGCGCCACCUGAGCCCCAACUAGAUGAAAACUGGGGACACCACUGGCCAAGAUCUGGCAUGGAGACAGACGGACAUUCAGAAGAAAACUCCUGAACACAGAGAAGGACUCACUAUCACAGACAUACGGCUUGUCUCGGUCCUCCAGGGAAGCGGUGUCCUGGCGUUUCCGGAGACCCCCGAUGCCAUAUGCCUGGGGGGAAGAGUCAGGAUCAGGGGCCAAGAAAGGGAGGGAACUGAAAGGGCUUUCAUCAUCUGAGCCCGAAAGGUGAACCGCAGCUCUGCCACUUCCUAACUAUGGGCCCCGACCUCUCUGACGUUCGGUUUCCUCAUCUGUAGUGUGAGCAUAAAGAUGGCUGUAACCCAC